AAGGUGUUGAAGGUGAUGGCGUCGGCCACAGUUGUUGACCGUUGAAAUGAUGAUUGGAAGGUCACACCUGUCACCCAUACAACUUAAUGGAAAGGCCAUGUGGGACUUUGGAGGUAAAUGCACAUUUUUUAGCUUUACUUUCACAACUUCUAUUAUGGUCGAACUCUUUUAUUGCUUCAAUCCCUAGAUUUGUAUUAUUACACUCAUCCCAACUCAAUUUACAUUAUAUAUUAUCCACUUCCAUAAUUCAUAAAUGUAUUCUAUUUGGAUGAGUUUGUCAAAAUUGAUCCUACCUCACUUUAAAUCAAAUAUAAUUCACUCUAUUCGUAAAAGUUAGUGAGCCUCGCAUACAAUAAAACCAACCUCUUGUUUUCACUUCAAAAUUUUCUCUUCCUUACCUUUGCCGUGAUUGGGCAAGACUUAACCUUUUGCUAUUUUUCAAUUGAAUCUCAUUUGUUAAACCAAAAAAAAAAAAAAAAAAAAAAAAAAACAUAAAAUCUAUCUUAAGAUGAUAUAAGUUAAAGAUUAAAUCAACUUAUCGGAACUAAAGUCCAAUUUUUAUUCCACAUAUUUUCCUUUUAUCUUAUUUUUUUCCAUCAAUUUUGUUGGUUCAAAUUCAUGGGUAAGAAAUAGUAUGAUAUAGACGUGGAUAAGACACCAAUAAUAUUGUUUCCAAUACAAGGCAGAUCCCUGAUGUGUGUGUAGAUAUCCUUAGUUACAUUAUUUGGAGAUGCUUUCUAGAUGCAUGUAACUCUAUUUAUUAUUCAUCUUCAAUGGUAUGUGUACAUAUACUCAUUUAUUUUCUCUCUUUUAAGAAAGAUCAAUAUAUAUAUUUACGAGUGGUAUAAAAAGAGUUCAUUUUAUUCAUCAUUUGUAAUAUUUAUAAUCAACCAAUUUAAGAAACACUAUUAGCAAAUUGAAUGAAUUUGUGACAAUUUUCUUCUUUUUCUGUUCUUGAGGUUUGCAAGAGUGACGUUCCUUCUCUUCUCUAUUCAAUAAUAUUGUGAAAUUUAGAGCAAAUAACAUGAGCUCAUGGACUAUCUUCCAACAUUAAUUAAAAAAGGUAAUUCAUCCUAUACUCAAUUGAUCUCCCCCCAAAAAAAAGCUAUUAGUUUAAUUUCUUGUAGAUCUUUUUGUUAUAAUAAAUGGAUUGUAUGGUUUAAUUUUGAUUUUAAUAGUACAAAUUUUAUGUGAAUUAUUGAAUUCUAUUGUAUCAUGUAAUUUAGUUAAAUUACGUAGGAUUAUCAUUUUUCUAA
rnacentral:lncRNA from 1 species